rnacentral:rRNA from 1 species
AGCGAACGCUGGCGGCAGGCCUAACACAUGCAAGUCGAACGAAGCCUUCGGGCUUAGUGGCGGACGGGUGAGUAACACGUGGGAACGUACCUUUUGGUUCGGAACAACUCAGGGAAACUUGAGCUAAUACCGGAUGAGCCCUUAGGGGGAAAGAUUUAUCGCCGAAAGAGCGGCCCGCGUUAGAUUAGCUAGUUGGUGAGGUAAAGGCUCACCAAGGCUACGAUCUAUAGCUGGUCUGAGAGGAUGAUCAGCCACACUGGGACUGAGACACGGCCCAGACUCCUACGGGAGGCAGCAGUGGGGAAUCUUGCGCAAUGGGCGAAAGCCUGACGCAGCCAUGCCGCGUGAAUGAUGAAGGUCUUAGGAUUGUAAAAUUCUUUUACCAGGGACGAUAAUGACGGUACCUGGAGAAAAAGCCCCGGCUAACUUCGUGCCAGCAGCCGCCGUAAUAC